rnacentral:rRNA from 1 species
UUAAGCCAUGCGAGUCGAACGAGUUUAGGCUCGUGGCGUACGGCCCAGUAACACGUGGAUAACCUACCCUUAGGACCGGGAUAACCUUGGGAAACUGAGGAUAAUACUGGAUAGGCAAUUAUUUCUGCAAUGGUUUUUUGUUUAAAUGUUUUUUCGCCUAAGGAUGGGUCUGCGGCCGAUUAGGUAGUUGGUUAGGUAAAGGCUUACCAAGCCGUUGAUCGGCACGGGUUGUGAGAGCAAGAGCCCGGAGAUGGAACCUGAGACAAGGUUCCAGGCCCUACGGGGUGCAGCAGGCGCGAAACCUCCGCAAUGUGAGAAAUCGCGACGGGGGGAUCCCAAGUGCCAUUCUUAACGGGAUGGCUUUUCAUUAGUGUAAAGAGCUUUUGGAAUAAGGGCUGGGCAAGACCGGUGCCAGCCGCCGCGGUAA